AUACGUAGGGUGCGAGCGUUAAUCGGAAUUACUGGGCGUAAAGCGUGCGCAGGCGGUUUUGUAAGACAGCAGUGAAAUCCCCGGGCUCAACCUGGGGACUGCGUUUGUGACUGCAAGGCUAGAGUGCGACAGAGGGGGGUGGAAUUCCAAGUGUAGGAGUGAAAUGCGUAGAGAUGUGGAGGAACACCGAUGGCGAAGGCAGCCCCCUGGGUCGUAACUGACGCUCAUGCACGAAAGCGUGGGGAGCAAACAGGAUUAGAUACCCUGGUAGUCCACGCCCUAAACGAUGUCGACUAGUUGUUCGGAGGUUUAGCUUCUGGGUAACGCAGCUAACGCGUGAAGUCGACCGCCUGGGGAGUACGGUAGCAAGAUUAAAACUCAAAUGAAUUGACGGGG
rnacentral:rRNA from 1 species